rnacentral:rRNA from 1 species
GACGAACGCUGGCGGCGUGCUUAACACAUGCAAGUCGAACGGUAAGGCCCUUCGGGGUACACGAGUGGCGAACGGGUGAGUAACACGUGGGUGAUCUGCCCUGCACUUCGGGAUAAGCCUGGGAAACUGGGUCUAAUACCGGAUAGGACUCCGGACUGCAUGGUCUGGGGUGGAAAGCUUUUGCGGUGUGGGAUGGGACCGCGGCCUAUCAGCUUGUUGGUGGGGUGAUGGCCUACCAAGGCGACGAGGGGUAGCCGGCCUGGGAGGGGGACCGGCCACACUGGGGCGAAGAUACGGCCCAGACUCCUACGGGAGGCAGCAGUGGGGAAUAUUGCACAAUGAGCGCAAGCCUGAUGCAGCGACGCCGCGUGAGGGAUGACGGCCUUCGGGUUGUAAACCUCUUUCAGCACAGACGAAGCGCAAGUGACGGUAUGUGCAGAAGAAGGACCGGCCAACUACGUGCCAGCCGCCGCAGUAA